UGUGCUAGUGCAUCGGGUCCU
rnacentral:siRNA from 1 species